AUGUACCACGCGUACACUGCGGUUCCUGUGCGCCGUGAGCAUCCACCUGACGACUGCUCGCUACGUUUUGUUAGCC
rnacentral:sRNA from 1 species